AUUGAACGCUGGCGGCAGGCCUAACACAUGCAAGUCGAGCGAGAGGCGGACGGGUGAGUAAUGUAUGGGGAUCUGCCUGAGGGAGGGGGAUAACUACUGGAAACGGUAACCACUACCGCAUACCAUCAGAUGAACCCAUAUGGGAUUAGCUGGUAGGUAAGGUAACGGCGUACCUAGGCGACGAUCCCUAGCUGGUCUGAGAGGAUGAUCAGCCACACUGGGACUGAGACACGGCCCAGACUCCUACGGGAGGCAGCAGUGGGGAAUAUUGCACAAUGGGCGCAAGCCUGAUGCAGCCAUGCCGCGUGUAUGAAGAAGGCCUUCGGGUUGUAAAGUACUUUCAGUCGGGAGGCGUUACCUACAGAAGAAGCACCGGCUAACUCCGUGCCAGCAGCCGCGGUAAUAC
rnacentral:rRNA from 1 species